AUUGAACGCUGGCGGCAUGCUUUACACAUGCAAGUCGGACGGCAGCACAGAGAAGCUUGCUUCUUGGGUGGCGAGUGGCGAACGGGUGAGUAAUAUAUCGGAACGUACCGAGUAAUGGGGGAUAACUAAUCGAAAGAUUAGCUAAUACCGCAUAUUCUCUGAGGAGGAAAGCAGGGGACCUUCGGGCCUUGCGUUAUUCGAGCGGCCGCUAUCUGAUUAGCUAGUUGGUGGGGUAAAGGCCUACCAAGGCGACGAUCAGUAGCGGGUCUGAGAGGAUGAUCCGCCACCCUGGGACUGAGAAACGGCCCAGACUCCUACGGGAGGCAGCAGUGGGGAAUUUUGGACAAUGGGCGCAAGCCUGAUCCAGCCAUGCCGCGUGUCUGAAGAAGGCCUUCGGGUUGUAAAGGACUUUUGUCAGGGAAGAAAAGGCUGUUGCUAAUAUCGACAGCUGAUGACGGUACCUGAAGAAUAAGCACCGGCUAACUACGUG
rnacentral:rRNA from 1 species